GCUAGGAACCUGCUGGGCACACUGCUUCCUGGUGUGCGAAGAGAAGCCAGUCAUGAGAGCCCGGAGCUGAGCCCAGAGCAAGAGGAGUAGUUUGCAAAAGGCCGGGGCCAAGCUACAAGACAGAUGCAUUUGUAAAGUAUUUUAUUCAAAAUAGUUUUGUGAGGCUACAGCUUCAAGAUAAUGAUUGUGAUGAUCGACACAAGUUAAUUUUUCAUAGAUGAAAAUAUAGAAUUGGCAUGGGCAAAAGAUCUGCACAGAAACUUCCCAGCUGCAUUCAGACUGAAAAUGUGACGAAGACAAACAUGCUGUCCAUUAUUAUCAAGAAGAAAGCACCACACAAUUUCAUGAGAGAAAUGAUCUUGCAUCUUUGAGAUUUUCAGUGAGGAGGGUAGGAUCAGAUCCUCCCCUAUAAAUCACUUGGACAUUCAAAGAGUUCAUGGAACCAAGAGAAAGUGGGUAUUUUCCAACUGUGUUGUGAUUCAGUGACACCGCCGUCAGUGCUCAGCGGCUGCCCUCCUCCGUAAAAUGACACUUGCUCCCUUUUAUAAUUUGGUUUCAUCACCCAUUUAGUGCACAUCAGAGAAGGACCACGAGCAUUCACAUUCUUAUGUCAAGAAGUACAGGCAUUGCAGUCAUCACAGUAUCCUAGAGUUCCAGAAAGUCUUGAAAAAGCCCAUUCUCAACAAACUAACACUGAAAGCCUUGUUUCGAAGACUGGCAAGUUCCACACUGGUUUAGCAGCAGCAGCAACAACAACAACAGCAAUUUAGCUAAGUUUUCCAUCCAAUUCUGAAGGGACCUAUCCACUUGGGUUCAUAUGCUAAUUUGCUGCACAUCAAACCACACAGAAGUCUUAGAUCUGAGAAUCACCUGUGAGAAAAAGUACACUUGUUCUCAUUUUCACGUGUCCUAGGGUCAGUUGUAUUCUAUUCACAUGGGCCAGAAGAAAUCACUACAGACUAUAACAGUAACAAAUAUACACUUUUUUUGAAACAAGAAAAAUAUCCCCCCCACACACAUACUUCAAAGAAAAAACAAUAAAAGAGAAAACACAAUUCUAGGGAACCACAGAGAGAAAGUCCAAGUGUACCAGGCCAUCACAUGCAGGAAAUAUGCCCCAUUUGCAAGAAAGAUGUGAAGCAACCUCUGGAGCUCUUCAAAAGGUCGCCUUGAAGAACACCUGGAAUAUCUAAAAUUUCAAGACUUACUCUUUGACCAAAAACAGUGCCAUUCAUUCGUUUGUGUUUUAGUGUUCAUCUGGAUCUGACCAUACUUACACAGAAGGAACCAAUACUUUUUUAGUACUCCCCUCAUGCCCAGUACUAGUCAAAGCACUUUAUGAAAAUUAAUUCAUUUACUCUUCUAUACAACUUGCACAAGAUAAAUAUUCUUAGGAUCAUUAGAUGAAGAAACUGAAAAUCAGCUCACGCAAGGUUAUACAGUCAGCAAACAGUGAAGCAAAGUUAAAAGGCAUGCGGUCAGAUUUUAGAGUCUUAGGUUCUAUUACAGUGUCUGAUUUUUCAAACCCUAGUGUAUGCCAGGGCUCCAAGGUACACAGGGCCACUUUGACACCAACAUGCUCUGCUUGAGCAGGCUGAGCAGGAAAUUUUUAAUUGGAUUUUCAGGAAGACUAGAGACUUCUUUCUCCUCAAAGAUCAGGGCAAUGUCUGACUGCCAUAGAGAUCUUCAGAAAGCCAAUCACUAAAUAAAUGUUUAAAAAUGGAUGUUAAAUCUUAACACUCAACUAAGAAUAUUGGGGAAACCGGAACAAAAAAUUUGGGCUCUCUAUCACAGCACUUUGAAGUCCAGAGCCACAAAGUCUUUCUAUUUUAGUGCUGAGAAUUGGAGACCACCUUAAGAACAGGACUGUCUCUUAUUCCUAGGGCAAAGAAAAGUCAUGAGCCAAUGUCUACAUGCUCUUCUUCACACAGAAGGAAUCAGAUAGGUUAUCUCUAUCUGAAGGCCUCACUCAUACAAUAAAUUUUAAGACAUCACACAUUCUGUCUCAUCUCCCACUUCCCUUUGCAGGGCAAUUAGAAAAAAAAUCACCACAAUUGUGAGGGACUGUAUGAUUCUCAGUUGGACGCUUCACUUUCAAGUUGUUUAAAUGUUCCCAGAUCAACAACUCUGAUCCAUUAUACAAUCUUUGCUUGUUCCUUUUUUUUUUUCUUUUAAUAGAGUAAUUCACAAAAGAAAAUAGGUGAGGGAGGCAUGAUAAGAGCAUGUACAAUAUUUGGGGUUGUAUGAUUGUUACUUUUAAACCAAAAGAAUAGGGGAAACAAAAAAAGAAAGGAAAGAUUUUCAUUUUCUCAGACUCUCAGUGUCCCACCUUAGUCAGGAGUAUCAGGUUAGAGUAGUUCUGAAAGGAUUACCUGGCCCUCAACCCUUGGGAAUUCUCAGCACUAUGUUUGCUUUUGUCUCCCGACAGAGGUGUGGUAUGAAAGGGUCACCUAGAAGGUGAACAAGAUGUUAAAUGCUCCACUUCCUUACUGUGAAGUAAUAUUCUGCAGUCAAACCAGGUGUCCAGUCACCUGUGAACUUCUUUCCUGCCUCCCACUCCUCUAGUCUCUAUUCCAAAGGUGAAACUGGAUGAGGCAGAAUACCUUGUUGAGGGAAAUUUGACAGACUGGCAAAAGGAGUAAGAUGUUCUCUCCCUAUGGGUCAAUGUGGAAGAAACAGUCAUAACAGAAAGGUUAAAAAAAGGCCCCAGUUUUACCAAGUCACGUGAGAAUACAGAAAGCAUUUCAUGGAGAACUGAAAAUGGCCAGAGACACCUCCAUAAGUGCUUGGAAAUAAUCAGCACUUCUUGGUUUGGACACCGGCAGCAUCAGCUAAUUUGAAACUGACAACCAUUUUCUGAGGCUAGGUUCCAAGAGUUGAGAGAAGGAGUGGUAACGAAUGAAGUUGUCCUUUUCCUGAUGGAGAAGAAAAGAAGAAUUCCAAGUCUGUUUCCCAGGCACAGGAAGGACCAGAGAACAAGGAAAUCUCCAAUUUUCAAGUCCACUGAACAGAAUACAAGAGUAGAGUCUAAAAUAAAGAGUUCUCCACUGAGAAAUGGCAGGAUGGAUCCAGCAAGUCCUGCAGGCAGGCUGGGUCUGGAAAGAUGCCAAGAGGCCACAACCCUGGGAAGGGAGGUUUGCUUGAGACCUCGAGAAGCUGAGAUUGUUGUAUCUGAACUCUGCUUGUCCCUGGAGGCUUGUCCACUCCCUCCAGAUAAGGAAGAGUAGUCCGAAGCUCACUCACCCAUUUAUGAGAUUGCUGAGCUGUGACUAUUGAUGAGGGAAAAAUAAAACAAAACUAAACUUCACAAACCAAUUUGGUAGGGUCAUCUGUAUGACGAUGUUAAGAGAGAAAUUAGUUUUCAUUUAGAAAAUGUGCUAUGGAACAAAAUAGGAAUGAAGUAUAUUGAAUUUAGAUUUAAUAAAAGUUGAAUUUAAUACUUGUCCUACUAGCUAGUCUGUGAUACUGGAUAAAUGGCCUACAUUUUCUAAAUCUUAGUUUUCUUGUUUGUAAAAUAGGAGAUGAAAAUACUAACUAAAUCAUAGAAUUUUUAAAGGGCUAAAUGAGAAUGUUCAAAGACAUUAAGUAGGAGCUCAACAAAUAGUAGUUUAAAAAUAUUCACAAUAUAGAAUUUUUUUCUUUCUUUCUUUCUUUUGUUCUUUCUUAUAACAACCCUCCCUUAUGCCUUUAAAAAAAUCAAUUGGUCAAUCAAACCUUUUCCCCCUAACACUUUAGAUUCUAUUCAGUAUACAGUGGUAGUCAAGACCUGACAACUGAUAUAUCUAAGUAAAAGGUCAACUUAAGAACACUUCCUUUCAGAUGUGAGUGAUCCCCUAAAAAAUGAAGUAUAUUUCUAAGACCUUAAAGAAGUAAAUGCCAUUAAAAAUGACACAUUUCAUAUAAUGUGGCAUAAAAAGGACUGUGGGGUAUCUUUGUGUUUUGUUUUAGGAGAUAUAUCAUUUGCUAAGAAUUCAUCAUUCUCUGGAAUUUAUUUAUUAUUUCCCAAACUGCCCAUCUUUCCUAUCAUUACUCUCUCCAGAAAAGUAAGAAUUUCAUUUUCAAAAGACUCCCAGUCCUUUCUGCGGAAUCACUGGGCAUGCCAGUACAUCUUCGGGCAAACUGUGAGAGGACUAUUCAUUGGCAAUCAUGAGAACAAAAGAAGAUUUUUCUAAAGGUGAUGAGGCAGAAAAGGACAGCAAAUGCCCCCAAGGAACAGGGAGAAAUGUCAAGGGAAUUGGUCUAUCUUCCUGGCACCCUGUGGUCUGACCAUGAUGGGAAUGUGCCAGUUCAUUGCCUUGUGAAAAGCCUGAGAGGAAAAGAAGGAUCUGGCUGAUUGCACUCUGAAGAUAACUUGGAAAAUAUACUUGACAGUCUUAGGGAAUAAGAGUUGUGACAUAAAUUGGGAAACAGAUAAAAUUUAUGGGUAUCAUAAAAUUAUAGGGCGUUCCCAAAUAUUCUAGGGAGAUAAGUGGAACCUUCUGAUUAUUGCAAACUAACUCA